UCACUUGGGAAACUUUCCAUAAGGCAGAUGCUGAUUCAGUAGGUUUGGGGCCUGUGAUUCUGCAUUUCCAACAAGCUCCCAGGUGAUGACCA
rnacentral:pre_miRNA from 1 species